UACGUAGGGCGCAAGCGUUAUCCGGAAUUAUUGGGCGUAAAGAGCUCGUAGGCGGUUUGUCGCGUCUGCCGUGAAAGUCCGGGGCUCAACUCCGGAUCUGCGGUGGGUACGGGCAGACUAGAGUGAUGUAGGGGAGACUGGAAUUCUGGUGUAGCGGUGAAAUGCGCAGAUAUCAGGAGGAACACCGAUGGCGAAGGCAGGUCUCUGGGCCACUACUGACGCUGAGAAGCGAAAGCAUGGGGAGCGAACAGG
rnacentral:rRNA from 1 species